CUCAGGGGUCAGCUGAAGGUUUAGGGGCGAUCCUGGGGGUCUCCGGGGUCUCCUACUGCCCCGCCGCCGCGGAGCUGCCCACGCGCGAGGCGCUGUCCCGGUGCUGAAACGCGCGGCCGCCGCCGCGGCGCUGUUGGGCUCCUGUUGAUGUUCGCCGAUUAAUGUCAACGAGCCGGGUUUGUUGUUGUUGUUCUUUUGUUUGGUUUUGUUUGGUUUUGUUGUUUGUUUGCUUGUUUGUUUGUUUCUUCAUGGAGGAAUUCCGUUCCACAUCUCUGCUUCUGAUGUCUUCUCAAAGUGUUCAUCAGAGAGUGGUGGUGAAAUUUUGCUGUUCCUGCAUUUCAUCCUUGAAAACAGUUGUUCACAGAUGUGCAUACUGCCAAAAAGCAACGGCAGGAGAACGUCAUGACUGUGAAGCGGGGGAUCUUGUUCUCUGGCAAGACAGGUGUUUUGCAAUUCUGAUGAAGAGGGAACAGAGAACCUUCGUGUGGCGGUUUAACAGCAGCAGGGAGCUCAGCACCCUGCUCACCCCUGGCCCCUUCGAAACAGAAUGGGGAGAAAAUAUGAUGAAAAGCUGACAGCCUGCAAAGAAUAGUUCUCUUUGGAGCCUCUUUGGUGCCCAGCCUUGUUUAUCUUGUCUGCCCUUGCCCACCUCUCCUGGGGCUGCCAGGCCUCUGGCUCCAGUCAGAGCUGUCUGCGUUGAGGACAGAGCGGUGCUUCCCCUGUGCUUCCUGCCAGGAGGAGCAGCUCUGCUGCCAUAGGCAGCUCUCCACACGCUGGGGUUACCUGACGGCCUCGUCCCAGGGACGCUGCCUCAACUUGGAAGCAGCUGAAGAACAAAGCUUUUACCGCCUCUUCUUGUCAACGGGACCUUCAGACUGAGCUUCCUUCUUUGCAGCGCUGCCCUGCGCCUUCUUGGCCCUGGAGAAAGCCUCACGGGGCACAGAGAAGCAACAACCUCCUCAAUAAAAGCACAAAG